CUGCAAGUGCUCAAGCUGAUAUACCCAAAUGUAUCAAGAGAUGAGUGCAUCGCAUUGCCAUGGGGCUAGAUUAGGGCCUUUUAUAAGACAUGUAGAAUACACGUGAAACCAGUGUGGAGUAACGCAACGAGGAGGUGAAUUAUGCACCUUUAAAAAUGUUAAAAACAACAUGUUGCCAAUAUCCACUUCGAGACGUGUCUUUCGGGAUUCUUCUGUGUGGGAGGAAAGCCGACUGUAUCAUAACAGCUUUAAGUCUAUACAUUUUAAGAUAUCCUGAGAAGAGGAGAACCUGACAAGCGCCCGGGUGACUCGAGAUGUACGGACAAAUGAACAACGACGCAGAAAAAAACUUGUACACUUCAAGACAGGAUGGAAAUCUUCAGUUGUGCACCUGCUAUUGUGGAAUGCCCUGGAGAUGAUGACAGCCACCAUUAUCCUGGUGCACUCUGGGCAAAAGCAAAGUGGACAUCAUCUGAUGUUAUCUUAUGUCAAUGUUUGGAGGAGCACAGUAGGAAAGGAUCAGUUUCUUCACACUUUUAUUAAACAACUGAAGAUUAGAACAUCUUUAGUGGUAGUACUCAAAUUGUUUGAUUGAUAAAAAAGGACUUUGCUGAUUCAUUUAAAUGAAUGACUGUAUUUUCUGGUGUUACACAUAUUGUGAGUUUUCUAUUUUCUUUAUAAGGUUCUGAGUUUAUAGAUUAGAUAAACUCCUAGGCAUGUCUGAAUGGACAUAAUUUAGCAUGAUACAUUACAAAUGAGCUUGCUUUAAUAUUCCCCCAAAUGUUUCUCUGAUUUGACAUAAUUGUGACAGUGUUUAAAUGCGAUAACAGAGUCAUUUUUGAUGAGAGGAACACUUGAACGUGAAGGUAUAUUUGCACAAAGUAAUUACUAUGAAUAAAAGAGCUCGUUUGAUCUUUAUUGACAUUCAUAAUUUCCCGUGUGCCACAUCUUCCCGUAAGGUACAGGAAACUUAAAUGGGGUUAAAUGUUACGCGUCACGGUCCGAGAAAAUAAGGAUGUCAGAUUGGAAGGGUGGGGGAAACGGAGGAUGAUUGCACAGUACAUUUCAAGAGAUCACUAAGGUUACAGCGAUCUACAUAUAGAAACAGACUGGGGAGAAAGAGACGAGGAGAGAGAGAGAGAAAAACAUUGUACAGCAUCACAUUUUUCAGGGCCGAGCGGCAAACAAAUGGAUUCAAUUAAAACCGAUUCCUCCCUUCAAGUCAUCAAUAUGAGGCAAAGUAAGCCCUCCACCAUACUGACAAGGACAAACAAGUACACACAAGGGGACACUAAACGUUCUUUCAGUCAUGCAUAAACAUGCUUUUCUCUCUACGCUCCUGCUCUCUCACUGUCACACACACACACACGCAAUACAAAGGCCCUCAAGGUGAACUUGGUGAAAGAUCUACGAACUCUCUACGAUCUUCAAAGAACUUGCAGUGCGAUUGUGUUAAAUUCACUUCUCCAAACGCAUAAUGAUAACACUCGAUAUCUUUUAUUAUAUACAUCUAGUUGAGAAAAGCAAAAAUGGCAUGAGGUGUACGGUGUACGGUGGAACCUGCCCUGCAGUGUGGGCUUCACUUCUCUCGCCUCUCUCUGAGUUCAAAGGCACAGGAACAGAGAGGGUCGGAUUUAUUCAGGCUUUAUGUGGUAAAUGCUUGGAUGUCUUUCUUGUAGUCUGCAAGGCUCUAAGAUCACAUUUAGGAAACGUUCUAUUGUGAGGUUGGCUGUGAAAUCCCCAUAAUAAAUUCACCAAACAGGCACAAGCAAUGGCUAUUUACGAUCGUGGCCAGUUUUUUCCUUUCUAUCUUGCCUUCCAGGUAAAGGUGUG